rnacentral:rRNA from 1 species
UCGAGAAUCUUCGGCAAUGGGCGCAAGCCUGACCGAGCGACGCCGCGUGGAGGACGAAGGCCUUCGGGUUGUAAACUCCUGUCGAGGGGGAGGAAGGCCGGGUGACCGGCUUGACCGAUCCCUGGAGGAAGCACGGGCUAAGUUCGUGCCAGCAGCCGCGGUAAGACGAACCGUGCGAACGUUAUUCGGAAUCACUGGGCUUAAAGGGCGCGUAGACGGGUUGGCGCAUCGGUCGCUGAAAUCCCCCGGCUCAACCGGGGAACGGGCGCCGAGAUGGCCGUCCUCGAGUGGAGGAGAGGGACCUGGAACUGCCGGUGGAGCGGUGAAAUGCGUUGAGAUCGGCAGGAACUCCGAUGGCGAAAGCAAGGUCCUGGACUCCCACUGACGUUGAGGCGCGAAAGCCAGGGUAGCGAACGG